AUGGUGCAAUAUAGCGCGUCUGACUCCAGAUCAGAAGGUUGCGUGUUCGAUUCACGUU
rfam:Nicotiana sylvestris Nsyl_contig19838, whole genome shotgun sequence.